GGGAGAGGGAGGAGAGUUCCCCGGCGCUGGAGAAAGGUAAAUGUUUAACCCCUUCAUCCCAGCGAGAGUGGGACCCUGAGGGUAGGGGGGCCUAAAUACCCUAUAGUGCCAGGAAAAUGAGUUUGUUUUCCUGGCACUAUAGUGGUCCUUUAAAGAAAAAAACAGGCUGCCACUUCUAUACCUUUUUGAUAAAUGAACAUGGUGAAAAAAUGUAUGACCCUCAAGUUAUGUCAAAAUUAUGUUCAAAAUACUAUUCUUCUCCUUAUAUCAUAAAAUGUUGUCCUGAGUUCUUCUACACCCUGACAACAGCUAUCCGUCGGUUUGUUUGGAACCAAUGACCUACAAGGAUACGCAGAACACUUCUGGAGCGGCCCAAACACACUGGGGUGCAGGAUUGCCGUACAUAAUCAUGCACUUUCAGGCGGCGCACCUACAUUGGCUUGUGGACUGGCACGCCCACCCGAGUACUAAACUGUGGGUGGAAAUGGAAGUCCACCAGUCAAGGGGUAAGAUCCCCUCCCCACUAUGGCUCGGAGGGGGCCUUAUUUAGCGAACCCCACUUGGGCAAAUGCAUGAUACACCCUACCUUCAGAGUCUGGUGCACCCUACGUGUCACAACAGUGACCCCUUCACACAGAGUGAAAUCCAGAGGAAGACAUAUACCGGACCUUAGAAUGGCCGGACUUGCAUCUUAGAGUAGUCAAAGGAAUAGCCAGAGGUCAAGGGAAUACAGAAGAUGGGCACACGAUAGUCCAAGCCAAAACAAUGGGAAACCAGAGAACAGGAUAGUCAGAUACCAAAAAGACAAUCAGAAAUAAAGAGCGCUAGGGGACUCAAACAAGAACCACACUAGGGCGCCUAACAAGUGCCAAGGUUGCCUUUUUAUAGUGUGGGAUCUUUAGCUUUAAAGCCACGCUCCCAAAAGGUCCGGGAGUGUGGCCACGUUUGAAUUUUGGCGGCACUAUUUUGCUGACGACGGAGCGCAUGCGCCGCGUCAUAAAAAUGAGCGUGUUCCGAGCGGCCGGCGUCAGAAGGACU